ensembl:snRNA U6 U6 spliceosomal RNA
GUAGCUUUGGCAGAACAUGUACUAAAAUUGGAACGAUACAGAGAAGAUGAGCAGGGCCCCUGCACAAGGAUGACACAUAAAUUCCUGAAGCAUUCCAUAUUAAA